AGAGUUUGAUCCUGGCUCAGAGUGAACGCUGGCGGCAGGCCUAACACAUGCAAGUCGAGCGGCAGCGCGUCCGACCACCCUCGGGUGGUCGGAUGGCGGCGAGCGGCGGACGGGUGAGGAAUGCAUCGGAAUCUGCCUCGUUGUGGGGGAUAACGUAGGGAAACUUACGCUAAUACCGCAUACGACCUACGGGUGAAAGUGGGGGACCUUCGGGCCUCACGCGAUGAGAUGAGCCGAUGCCGGAUUAGCUAGUUGGCGGGGUAAAGGCCCACCAAGGCGACGAUCCGUAGCUGGUCUGAGAGGAUGAUCAGCCACACUGGAACUGAGACACGGUCCAGACUCCUACGGGAGGCAGCAGUGGGGAAUAUUGGACAAUGGGGGCAACCCUGAUCCAGCCAUGCCGCGUGUGUGAAGAAGGCCUUCGGGUUGUAAAGCACUUUUGUUGGGGAAGAAACCGGCCGGGUUAAUACCCUGGUUGAAUGACGGUACCCAAAGAAUAAGCACCGGCUAACUUCGUGCCAGCAGCCGCGGUAAUACGAAGGGUGCAAGCGUUACUCGGAAUUACUGGGCGUAAAGCGUGCGUAGGCGGUUUGUUAAGUCUGCUGUGAAAGCCCUGGGC
rnacentral:rRNA from 1 species